rnacentral:rRNA from 1 species
AGGCCGGAUGUGGAAGCGAGGACUAAAGACUCGUGAAGCUGACCGGUACUAAUAGGCCAACAACUUACAC